GCUGAAGUGGCGGAAUUGGUAGACGCGCUAGAUUCAGAGUCUAGUUCUUGAAAAAGAGUAAGGGUUCAAAUCCCUUCUUCAGCA
rnacentral:tRNA from 1 species